CCUCAAAGAAAUAUAUUAUUAAAAAAAAAAUUGGAGGGACUAUGCCAAAACUCAAAGAAACAAAUAUUAUAGAAAAUUGCCUCGUUAAAAACCUUCACAAGAAAACCCAAUCGAAUAAAACUUGGUGAAGGAAAAAAGAGUGCAGCGUAUACACAUAAAAUUAAAUUUAACAGCUAGAUAAAUAUAAUUUUUAUUUUUAAAUAGAGAAUAAAAGUUGAAAUAUUGUGAUGUCCCUUAGUUUCAAUUGUGCAAUUUUGGCCCUUCACCAAAAUAUAACCAACAAUGACCAUCAACACACCGUGUAUAAUGAGGUUCAAUCGCCUUUGGACAAUCGGCGUCAGACUUGCAACCAAUAUUAUAGGAUGUUACUACAUUGUCAAAUAAAGAAAAAAAAUGUUACUAAAAUAAGAUAAAAUAAGAUGUACAAAAAUAUUAGAAAAAUAAAAAAAAAAUGGUGGGAAAAAUGAAUACGCAUUGUGGUUCUAGUCCUCUCUAAUGCCGCUUCUCCAAGAAAUAGAGAAAGAAAGAUAAUCAAAGAAUAAAUAAACAGAAGAAAUUGAGUCAUAUUUUUCAUCCUUUA
rnacentral:lncRNA from 1 species